CUCCAGUAAGAGACUUGUGAAAAGUUAGCACACAUUUUACCGAACACUUUAUUUUCAUGAAAGAGAAUUACAAGGACUUGUGUAGAAAGAUCAAGAUCCAAAGACUCAGGGCUCUAUGUGCUGAGACGUGAGACUGCAGAUCCAGAGACCCCUGACAUGCCAACAGAUCCAGGGGCCUGCAGCUUUCUAAUACUACAGGGCCCAACAUCCCAAAAUACCUGCAACUCCCUAUCUGGCACAGACCACCAGAAAGCCCCUCUAAAAAUCAGAUUUUAGGCUUGCU